CNANGGGGCACCUGAUGGAGCACGCCGCGUGCAGGAUGAAGGCCUUCGGGUUGUAAACUGCUUUUAUUUGUGAAGAAUAUGACGGUAACAAAUGAAUAAGGGUCGGCUAACUACGUGCCAGCAGCCGCGGUCAUACGUAGGACCCAAGCGUUAUCCGGAGUGACUGGGCGUAAAGAGUUGCGUAGGUGGUUUGUAAAGCGAAUAGUGAAAUCUGGCGGCUCAACCGUACAGGCUAUUAUUCGAACUCACAAACUCGAGAAUGGUAGAGGUUACUGGAAUUUCUAGUGUAGGAGUGAAAUCCGUAGAUAUUAGAAGGAACACCAAUGGCGUAGGCAGGUAACUGGACCAUUUCUGACACUAAGGCACGAAAGCGUGGGGAGCGAACCGGAUUAGAUACCCGGGUAGUCCACGCCGUAAACGAUGGAUACUAGCUGUUGGAGGUAUCGACCCCUUCAGUAGCGAAGCUAACGCGUUAAGUAUCCCGCCUGUGGAGUACGGUCGCAAGACUAAAACAUAAAGGAAUUGACGGGGACCCGCACAAGUAGUGGAUCGUGUUCUUUAAUUCGAUGCUAAACGAAAAACCUUACCAGGGUUUGACAUCCUUGGAAUUUCUGCGAAAGUAGAAAGUGCUUUAUUGAACCAAGUGACAGGUGAUGCAUGGCCGUCGUCAGCUCGUGUCGUGAGAUGUUUGGUUAAGUCCAUCAACGAGCGCAACCCUUGUGAAUAGUUGAAUUUUUCUAUUCAGACUGCCCCGGUAACGGGGAGGAAGGGGGGGAUGAUGUCAGGUCAGUAUUUCCCUUACAUCCUGGGCUAGAAACACGAUACAAUGGCAAGUACAAUGCGCAGCGAANCCGCGAGGUGGAGCAAAUCGCAUCAAAGCUUGUCCCAGUUCGGAUUGGANGCUGAAACUCNCCUCCAUGAAGUCGGAAUUACUAGUAAUCNCANA
rnacentral:rRNA from 1 species